rnacentral:lncRNA from 10 species
AGACGCCACGGUACCGGCUCCAGGACGUAAACACUGCCCUUCUCUUCCCUGCCCGCCCGCAACUUCCUUCUCCCGACCACGGCUUUGCGGGAGCCCACUGGAAAAGGGAGGAUACCACAUACCCUCGGAAGUGAGGCGGGAGAAGGGCUUAAGCAGCUCCGCGAAGCUGAGGUGAUUGAGACGAGUGAGCCGCUCGGCUUCGUCGCUGCACAGCGCAGCGACACAGGGGACGAAGGAGUCCGGGAUUAGCUCCUGCACUGAUUGUACACACUGGGCCAUCGCCGCAGCACAGGCAGCGGCGGCGCCCGCCCUCCGGCCCACCCUGCGAGGUUAUCCUGCGGCUGCAGCAGCUACCGCCGCCGCCCGCCGGCCUGGCCCGGCCGGGCGGGGCCCCGAACGCACUGGAGCCUAGAAACAAGAAGGAACAGACGCCGCCGCUUCGGUUUCUGGGGCACAAUCCACUGACCCCCCCCUUCCCGUCACCGCCGCUUCUCAGCGCUCGUCCCCGCGUGCUCGCAUUCCACCCCGAUAGGUGGAGACGCCGACAGUCACCACUUAGUCCUUCGGACGGCAAAACCUUGGUCACUGCCCGGCCGGAACCGCCAUGUUGAGGCCGAACCCUGACCAACCGGCAGUACUACUCCCAGCUGCCCCCGCGCGCGUCCCUCACGUGACUGUGUUAAAGGAGACGGUAGGGGCAAGGGAAGAGAGCUGAGGAGAGGGAAGUGAAAAACGACGGAGGCCGGUUGGGAGGCUGGAGCCGGAAGUGUUGUGACGGAAGCUCCCUGGGCGGGGCGGGGCUACAAGUGCGGUGGGCGGGGGCGGGGGCGGGGGCGGGGGCGGGGGGAGGUGCACAACUGUAGGCCGGGUUCUCAAGCUCGCCCUUAGCAGAGCAGAGCUGAGAGCCACCUACUAGCGGCAGGUGGAGCCUCGAGACGGGUGCUGUCGUGGUGAUGGAGGCGCACGCUCGCUUCCCACGCAGUUUGGCCUUUUUGACGUCCCUGGCUGUUGUGGGCAACCGAUUUGGUUGGUCGCGCUGCUUCCUACGCUCGCCGGCGGAGCAGCUAGUGGCACCUGCUCGGAGAGAGGGAGUGGAUCUCUCGGAAGUGCUUGGGGUUUCGCUGAAGCGGACCUGAACAGACCAUGUGUCCUUUAAAUACAGCCAUGCUUUUAGAAACGGACUGUCACUUUAUGUGGACUCAACCAUUGAACAGAAUGUGUGCUUUUGUGAGUGCUGCAAUUCCUUCAAGUGUAAUUGCGCUACUGCAUUUUUGUUGGUCGCAGGGAAGGGGUGUGCCUGCAAAUGUCCGCGUGGUUCGUCCUCAGCCUCUUCCUUUUUACACUGUGCUAGGAUGUUUACUUGCUUGUGGUGGAGGUAGGGGAAGCCAGUAUUUGUGUACUGUGUACUGUCCUGAACCGGCUUUCAUUCCUAACUUUUCAAAGAUUGCUUUAAAGGGGGGGGGGCGCGGGUCAAAUAUUGUUUUAAAGGGGGGGACGGGGUGAGGUCAAUGGUGUGUGCCUUGUAAGUAGAAAUGAAUGAAAGGAAUUUUACUAAUGUGUCACUCAAUUGUUUGAGCUCCUUCUGUUUUGCAUGCCAAAAAUAUAAGGCAAGGAAAAAUGUAUCAUUCUAUCAUGAUUUUAUGGUGCUCUAAUUAAAGGUGUCUUCCCCAA